rnacentral:rRNA from 1 species
CCCUUAGAUGUCCUGGGCCGCACGCGCGUUACACUGAUGCAUUCAACGAGCUUAUAACCUUGGCCGAGAGGCCUGGGCAAUCUUGUUAACGUGCAUCGUGAUAGGGAUAGAUUAUUGAAAUUAUUAAUCUUGAACGAGGAAUGCCUAGUAAACGCAAGUCAUCAGCUUGCAUUGAUUACGUCCCUGCCCUUUGUACACACCGCCCGUCGCUCCUACCGAUUGAAUGAUCCGAUGAAUAUCAUGGAUUGAGGAUUAUAGCAGGUUCGCCUGUCUUGAUCUUCGAGAAGUGAAGUAAAUCUUAUCAUUUAGAGGAAGGAGAAGUCGUAACA